ACGGAGGAUGCGAGCGUUAUCCGGAUUUAUUGGGUUUAAAGGGAGCGCAGGCUGCGAGGCAAGUCAGCGGUCAAAUGUCGGGGCUCAACCCCGGCCUGCCGUUGAAACUGUCUUGCUAGAGUUCGAGUGAGGUAUGCGGAAUGCGUUGUGUAGCGGUGAAAUGCAUAGAUAUGACGCAGAACUCCGAUUGCGAAGGCAGCAUACCAACUCGCGACUGACGCUGAGGCUCGAAAGCGUGGGUAUCGAACAG
rnacentral:rRNA from 1 species